ACUGAAAAUGUAAGCAAUGUUAAAGCGAACACAAAGACAAAAAAUUUAAAUGUUUUGAAAUGCUUAGAACAUCACACCUUUUGUAUAUGGUAUCACACUUGGAUCGACGACUGCUACAUUGGAUAGGUCAAAGUGAAAUGUGUGGAUGGCCUUUGGAAGCUACAAAGGCUGGAAAUAGUGGUAGGCGAUGUGCCAAUUUUUGGCGCAUAUGGAAGGUUGCAAGUAUUGAUCACCGGCGGCUACGGUGGAUGUGGCUCCAAUUUAUUCUUUGGAGUAAAUUUCCGGUUUGGUGGAUAAAAAAGUUCCAAUCGACUGACAACCAACAGACAACUAAAAAAAUUUGGCGCUCAACGAUCUUAGCCAUUGACAAAUAUGAGACUUUCUGAUUUUUUGAGCUAUACAUUUUGUAAAUUUUUGUUUCUUUAAGCUUAAUGGUUUUUUCGUUUGUUUAUCUUAGCCUUUAUAUAUUUUCUUAGUAAUUAAACAUGUAUUUAUUUUGU
ensembl:ncRNA lncRNA:CR43144 long non-coding RNA:CR43144